rnacentral:rRNA from 1 species
ACGAACGCUGGCGGCGUGCCUAAUACCUGCAAGUCGAGCGGACGAAUCGAAAGCUUGCUUUUGAUUCGUUAGCGGCGGACGGGUGAGUAACACGUGGGCAACCUGCCCUGUAGACGGGGAUAACACCGAGAAAUCGGUGCUAAUACCGGAUAACACGAAAUGUCGCAUGACGUUUCGUUGAAAGACGGCGCAAGCUGUCGCUACAGGAUGGGCCCGCGGCGCAUUAGCUAGUUGGUGAGGUAACGGCUCACCAAGGCGACGAUGCGUAGCCGACCUGAGAGGGUGAUCGGCCACACUGGGACUGAGACACGGCCCAGACUCCUACGGGAGGCAGCAGUAGGGAAUCUUCCGCAAUGGACGAAAGUCUGACGGAGCAACGCCGCGUGAGCGAAGAAGGCCUUCGGGUCGUAAAGCUCUGUUGUUAGGGAAGAACAAGUAACGCAGUAACUGGCGUUACCGUGACGGUACCUAACGAGAAAGCCACGGCUAACUACGUG